rnacentral:misc_RNA from 1 species
CCUCCUUAUACGAUUUAGAACUUAUUUGUUCGUAGUGUCCACACAGAUGAUUGUUAGUUAGUUUCACCUUUGGGUUUAACUGAUUAAUAUGCUCUUUAAAAAUUUGGAAAAGCUGAUAAUAAAAUUCGUAUGAAUACAGUGUAUUUGUACAGAGUUUUCAAAAGUAAAAAGAAUGAUAGCAGUAUCAUUCAGUGCCAUUUAAUAAACGUUUCGUUUGUUGAUUGGUAUCUACUUUAGUAUUCAAUAUUAACUUCUGGCGAAGUUAAACUGUCACAAAACAAAAGACCCGUUUGGGUUGUUAUGGUUAAGUGACUAAAGCGUACACGGUUGGAUGCCUU